GGAGAGAUGGCCGAGUUGGUCGAAGGCGCGCGACUCGAAAUCGUGUAGGCGAGUACCCCUCGUCUCAAGGGUUCGAAUCCCUUUCUCUCCGCCA
rnacentral:tRNA from 1 species